rnacentral:rRNA from 1 species
UACGUAGGGUGCGAGCGUUGUCCGGAAUUAUUGGGCGUAAAGAGCUCGUAGGCGGUGUGUCACGUCGUUCGUGAAAACCUGCAGCUUAACUGUGGCGUGCGGUCGAUACGGGCAGGCUGGAGUUCGGUAGGGGAGACUGGAAUUCCUGGUGUAGCGGUGAAAUGCGCAGAGUAUCAGGAAGAACACCAGUGGCGAAGGCGGCUCACUGGCCCGGUACUGACGCUGAGGUGCGAAAGCGUGGGGAGCAAACGGG